rnacentral:rRNA from 1 species
AGUGAGCGGCAAAAGCUCAAAUUUGAAAUCUGGCGUCUUUGGCGUCCGAGUUGUAAUUUGAAGAAGGUAUCUUUGGGCCCGGCUCUUGUCUAUGUUCCUUGGAACAGGACGUCACAGAGGGUGAGAAUCCCGUGCGAUGAGAUGACCCGGGUCUGUGUAAAGUUCCUUCGACGAGUCGAGUUGUUUGGGAAUGCAGCUCUAAGUGGGUGGUAAAUUCCAUCUAAAGCUAAAUAUUGGCGAGAGACCGAUAGCGAACAAGUACAGUGAUGGAAAGAUGAAAAGAACUUUGAAAAGAGAGUGAAAAAGUACGUGAAAUUGUUGAAAGGGAAGGGCUUGAGAUCAGACUUGGUAUUUUGCAUGCUGCUCUCUCGGGGGCGGCCGCUGCGGUUUACCGGGCCAGCAUCGGUUUGGAGCGGCAGGAUAAUGGCGGAGGAAUGUGGCACGGCUUCUGCUGUGUGUUAUAGCCUCUGACGAUGCUGCCAGCCUAGACCGAGGACUGCGGUUUUUAACCUAGGAUGUUGGCAUAAUGAUCUUAAGUCGCCCGUCUUGAC